UACGAAGGGGGCUAGCGUUGCUCGGAAUCACUGGGCGUAAAGGGUGCGUAGGCGGGUCUUUAAGUCAGGGGUGAAAUCCUGGAGCUCAACUCCAGAACUGCCUUUGAUACUGAAGAUCUUGAGUUCGGGAGAGGUGAGUGGAACUGCGAGUGUAGAGGUGAAAUUCGUAGAUAUUCGCAAGAACACCAGUGGCGAAGGCGGCUCACUGGCCCGAUACUGACGCUGAGGCACGAAAGCGUGGGGAGCAACAGGA
rnacentral:rRNA from 1 species